UAUACAUGCAAGUCGAACGAUGAAGUUCCUUCGGGAAUGGAAUAGUGGCGAACGGGUGAGGAACACGUGAGAAACCUGCCUUUCAUUCUGGGAUAACACCGGGAAACCGGUGCUAAUACCGGAUACUCCAUCUUGGCGGCAUCGCCGAGCUGGGAAAAAAUUUUGAUGAAAGAUGGUCUCGCGGCCUAUCAACUAGUUGGUGAGGUAAAGGCUCACCAAGGCGACGACGGGUAGCCGGCCUGAGAGGGCGACCGGCCACACUGGGACUGAGACACGGCCCAGACUCCUACGGGAGGCAGCAGUAGGGAAUAUUGGGCAAUGGGCGAAAGCCUGACCCAGCGACGCCGCGUGAGGGAUGAAGGUCUUCGGAUUGUAAACCUCUUUCAGUAGGGAAGAAGCGAAAGUGACGGUACCUAAAGAAGAAGCACCGGCUAACUAUGUGCCAGCAGCCGCGGUAAUACAUAGGGUGCAAGCGUUGUCCGGAAUUAUUGGGCGUAAAGAGCUCGUAGGUCGUUUGUCGCGUCGAUUGUGAAAAUCUGAGGCUCAACCUCAGACCUGCAGUCGAUACGGGCAAACUAGAGUGUGGUAGGGGAGACUGGAAUUCCUGGUGUAGCGGUGGAAUGCGCAGAUAUCAGGAGGAACACCAAUGGCGAAGGCAGGUCUCUGGGCCAUAACUGACACUGAGGAGCGAAAGUGCGGGGAGCGAACAGGAUUAGAUACCCUGGUAGUCCGCACCGUAAACGGUGGGCACUAGUUGUGGGAACCUUCCACGGUUUCCGCGACGCAGCAAACGCAUUAAGUGCCCCGCCUGGGGAGUACGAUCGCAAGAUUAAAACUCAAAGGAAUUGACGGGGCCCCGCACAAGCAGCGGAGCAUGCGGCUUAAUUUCGACGCAACGCGAAGAACCUUACCAAGGCUUGACAUAUAGUGA
rnacentral:rRNA from 1 species